GACAGUGUGGUAAAGUGGUUUGGGUGUUGGACUUGGACUCAGGAAGACCAGGGUUCGAAUCUCUGUUCUGCCA